CCUACGGGUGGCAGCAGUGAGGAAUAUUGGUCAAUGGGCGGAAGCCUGAACCAGCCAAGUAGCGUGCAGGAUGACGGCCCUACGGGUUGUAAACUGCUUUUAUACGGGAAUAACGCGCCUUACGUGUAGGGCUUUGCAUGUACCGUCUGAAUAAGGAACGGCUAAUUCCGUUCCAGCAGCCGCGGUAAUACGGAAGGUCCGAGCGUUAUCCGGAUUCCUUGGGCUUAAGGGGAGCGUAGGCGGGUGUUCAAGUCAGCUAUAAAAGCUCGCGGCUCAACCGCGACCCGCAGUUGAAACUGGACGCCUUGAGAUCACAACAGGCAGGCGGAAUUCGUGGUGUAGCGGUGAAAUGCAUAGAUAUCACGAGGAACCCCGAUUGCGAAGGCAGCCUGCCGGGGUGCGACUGACGCUGAGGCUCGAAGGUGCGGGUAUCAAACAGGAUUAGAUACCCCUGUAGUC
rnacentral:rRNA from 1 species